UGUACUCUCUUCAAUGCCUGGC
rnacentral:miRNA from 1 species